CAGCCGCCGCGGUAAAACCGAGGGUGCAAGCGUUAAUCGGAAUUACUGGGCGUAAAGCGCGCGUAGGUGGUUUGUUAAGUUGGAUGUGAAAUCCCCGGGCUCAACCUGGGAACUGCAUCCAAAACUGGCAAGCUAGAGUAUGGUAGAGGGUGGUGGAAUUUCCUGUGUAGCGGUGAAAUGCGUAGAUAUAGGAAGGAACACCAGUGGCGAAGGCGACCACCUGGACUGAUACUGACACUGAGGUGCGAAAGCGUGGGGAGCAAACAGGAUUAGAUACCCGUGUAGUCCCUGUCUCUUAUAA
rnacentral:rRNA from 1 species